AUGUUGGAGAGCAUUGGGGAUCCACAAUUCCAAAAACGUUUCGUCAAAUACAACUAGAACAAAUCAACAAAAGAUAUUGGUUAAAUAAACAAUUUUAAUAUCGUUAACAUUAGCAUGUGUAAAAUCUAACAAUAAGUGUCAAAUAAUAUAAUAAUUGCACUUACUCCAUUCAUUCAUGUGAAAAUAUAUCUAACAAACAUACUCAUGUAAUUCAAUACUCUUGUAAUUCUGUUGCAUAAGUGUCAAUUGUGUAUUGAUUAUCUGAUGGAGGACGUUUUAGUUUUGUGAAAUGUCAGUAAAUUAGAUUUGACAGACAAUUAAUUUAGGGGAAAAGUGUCCCCUUUAAAAAAAGAUGUUCUAAGUGACUUGAGACUUCAUAUAAGCAAAAAGUUAUAAUUUCUAUUAACAUCAAGAAAAAAGUUGGAGUCACAGAAUAGUCACCAAAUAAUAUUUGUGUUGCUAAUAUCUUUUUAAGAAUUGAAUGAACAUCAAAAUAAGUAAAAGAUCAAUGAAUGUGGCCUCCGAUUGACAUCAACAUUAACCUAUUCAUUGUAAUGAGGAGAAAUUUGGUGCAAAUAAUUCUAUUACACUAUACCCUAAUUGUCAAUACUAGCUUAGGUAAUAAAAUAUGUAGUAAUGAAUGAAAGAAUACUCUUUUUUAUGUUUCCAGAAUUGAAACUAUUUGUUAACAAUUCAGAAGAAUUUUACUAACUAUUUAAGCACCACACCAUUUCAGAAAAUCGCAGUUGACAAAAUGUUGAAUUAAGUAUCAAAUACAUGUAGUUUGAAUUUGGUCAGACCAACUACCAAACACUGAGCAUAGAAGAUUAUCAAUCAUUCGGUGACAUCAUAAGCAAGAUUUUCAACAAAUAGACUGAAUAUUUUUUUGGUUAAUCUCUAUAUUAUUUUAAGCAUGUAAAAGUCAUAUAGAAAUAAAGCUUUUACAGAAUAUUGUUAUUAUUUUUUCAUUCCUGUAUACCCAUGAAAAGGGUUUAAUUUAACCUGAAACUUCAAUGUUUUCUUAAAAUACAUAGAUUCAAAUUUGUUCUAAACAUCAGAGAUAAAUUGUAAAUAGCCAGUUUAGUACCUUCUACUUUAAUUCUUUUACUAGAUAUAUCAAAAGAGCUUUAAUUUUGAACUCUAGGGGUUUUAGGAACAAAAAAAAACAUUCGAAUUCUGACAAAAUAGUCUUUUCAUUUUAAAUAUGUUGCAAUUGUCUAUGAUGCUUUUCAAAAAUAAAUGAAAUUGUGUUUUUUUUGUACUUAUUUUUUUUUUAAAUUUAUUUGCAUUUUGUGUUCACAAUAUUGGUAACCUAGACUUGAAAACAAGAUUACUGUGACCUGGUUAUAUAUAUUUAUGCAUAUUCACACAUACAUUUAUACCUUUCAUUUGUUCAUUAUAAAUUCUAUUUCAUGUAAUGUUUGUGUUCACAUGUGUAUUCCAUUUCUCUUGCAUAUUCAAGGAAUUUUUAACCAUCAUUUAUUGGAAGCAAGUAAUCAUCUUAAAUUGCUUUGACUAGACAUUUUUCAAAAUUUAUUUUCUAACUCUAUUCACUUUAAAAACUGUAGUUAAAAAAUGCUAUAUUCAAUUACAUUGUACUUUCUAUCUAAAGUUUUUUUAAACUAUAAACUUCAAAUUCUGAAUUUCACAUUUCACUACUGUUUAUAUUCUAGUGAACUCUAGUGAUGUUAAAAAUGUUAAAUGCUUAAACUAAGAUUAUGAACUAUACAUCUCACAGUGUCAUACAAUGAAAACAUUCAAACAUGAGACAAACUGAUUAUUUUUUCUCACUAACUAGUGUUAUAUGAAUGCAAUAAUUUAUAAUCUGAGACAGAGUUGAUUUUUUAACAUUAAUUUAAGAGGUUUAAGAAGCCUUAAAAUGAGAUUUGGCUGUGAAAAAAUCACAAAGUAUUUUUUUUUUUAAUUGUUUGAUUUUGUUUACCUUCUCCCCUAAAACAACAGUCUACCCUAAAAUCAAAUAUGUGAGACACAACUGUUUCAAAUUUGUUUGUUUUUAAGAUUAUUCCCUACUCUAAAAACUUUUUCUUGCCAAAAACAUUUAACUUAUGGUUUUGGCUACAUCAAAAAUCAUAUCUAUCUUAAUCAACCAUACAUGGCAAAGGUAACAUCAAACACAAAAAGAUAGUCCUUGCAAAAAAGUUUCUCUUCCUGACUAGAUUUUCCAAUUCUUUCAUAGUGUGCGCACUAUCUUAUUAAAUACAAAGACUAUACAUUGUUCUAUACUACUAAUAAUAAAUAUGUAUUUAUCACAGUAAAAUAUGUUUGUCAUGCUUUUGGUUAUAUACUUAAUAUCAGUCACAAUUAAAUACCAUAUGAAUCAAGUCAGGUUUUAGAUACAAAAGAAAUAUAUAUACAUAUUAUAUCCACGAAAUUAAUAUUGAAAUUAAGUUUUAAGACUUUUGUCAAUCAUUGGUUCUUUUUUUAUCAUACUGUAACAAACUGCUCAAUUUUAAACAAAAAAGUAGUUUUUAUCAUUAAACCAGCGUUUUAUCCCUUGAAAGCUCUAUUCCACCAAGUUUAGGAGCUACACAUAAACAUAUUAUAUUAAAAAAAUAACUGAAUACUUUUUAUUACAUUACAGUUAACACCAAUUUCAAGUUCAGGAUAUCACUCUGACUACCCUAAAAAUAAUUUUGCGUAUAUUCUUCACAUGAAAUUGCAAAUCAAUCACUUUGGAUGUGUUGUUAAAUAUUUUCCUUUGUGACACUAAAAAAUUGAAGGAAACAUUUCAUAUCCUUGGAGGAUUGGAGGAUUGACAAACUUGACAUUGCUGUAUAAAUUAUAAAUCAUGACUAAUCAGUAUAUUUUCGCGAGCGAUUUAUUUUCGCGACUUUCACGAGUAGAAAAAUAACGCGAAUAUAAAUCGUCGUGAAUAUCUAACACUUGGAUCUUUCCUUACUGAACUACAUCAUAUAAAUUAGAAAUUCGCGAAAUUAAGUAGCCGCGAAGUGGACUUUAAAUGGCAAUACGCGAAAUAAAGUAUCCGCGAAAAUAAGUUGGUUUACAGUACUACAGACUACUAUUUGGGCUAUUUCAUUUGAAUGGACAUGGGAGGGUUGAAAGGGAUUUCCAAAAUCUACUCGUCACAAAAAUACGUUAUUUCCCUUCCUACACUCCCAACAUUCAUAAUAAUAGAAUAGUCCAUAGCAUCACAUGUUUAGGGUGGGAUAAUCACAUGCACUUGAAUUUACAACCAAUCAGAAUUAACCUUUUAAUUUUCAACCUAUAAAAUAUUCUACUCUUAUAUGCAGAGUUUUUUCUUUUUACAUGUGAUCAGUUUUUACAAUUUACCCAUGCAACUGUGACACAGUCUUGGAAUCAUGGUGGAAUGAUAAAAUGACAUUAUUAUAAUUCAUAAUCAUACAAUCCACAUAUUCACUCAAGAAAUACCUUUUAAGUUUUGUAUAUUAGUUCAAAAAUUUUACACACUGUUAUCAUAUUAUCAUAUUUGUGACUACAUUUAUUAAGGAUAAGUUUUACAUUUGCCAUAACUGUUAUUUAAACAUUCACCCAUCUACUCUUCACAUAUAUCUUUCAACCAAGAAAAUAUCUUACAAAUGAACAAAUGAUAAAAAUCCAAUGUUGCAUGAUGUCUUAUUAAGCAGAAAAUGUAAUUAGCCCUCUUUGAUGUAAAAAAUCAGAAGUUCCAAUAUAAGAUAUAUUUUAGUGGACUGUACGUGGUCAUGGGUGCACAACCAUUUAUGAUGAAAGCCAUUUUAACGUUUUUUCUAAACUUUUAUACUUUAUUAAAAAUAACACAAUAUCUUUUAAACACAUUAACAAUGAUUCUGUUAUUAAUGAAGAUGAUUUAUUUAAUUUUUUUUAUUUCUUAACUUAAAUAUUUAAAACCCUAAAAUCUGCACAUGAAAACAAUGCAAAAACAAUGUUCAGAAAACUGACCAAGCAAUAAGCUGACAAAAAAAGAAGCUCCAAAAAAGACCUUCACCUUAAGUAUAUGAAGUAAAUGUUCCAGAAGUAAAACUUUGUGCCAACUAUAAUUUGUAAAAAAACAAAAAGCAGAGACCGCGAAUAUUUACAACAAAUUGACUAUUAUGAAUGUACAUGCACCUAAUGAAAAUAUAUUUUCCAUAUCUAUAUCAUGUUAACAUUUACACAUGCUGGUAUCCCAUGACAGUAACUGGUUUACUGCCUUGUUUAAACAAGGAACAGCAAAUUUAAACACUGAUACACAGUAAUUCUGAUUUCAGUUUGACAGACCUAUAGACAAUUUGUACUUCAAUUUGUGGUUCACCUGAACUUAUCGAAAACCACAAAAAUUGUUAAAAUAAAAUAAAUUAUGUGUCAAACAAACAAAAAAUAUAUUAAACAAAUUUAGUUUCACCAUAGCAAUAGAAUCUGAAUAAAUAUGUUUUCUGACACACAAAAAAACCCUGAAUUGCAGCAAUCAAUUCUUUGAUUGAUGUUUGCAAUCAGUUAUAAAAAAAAAUUUUGGUUCAUUUAUCUCAGCAAGAUGUAUCUAUAAUUCAUAAUUGCAUUC
rnacentral:lncRNA from 1 species